rnacentral:rRNA from 1 species
UACGGAGGGUGCGAGCGUUGUCCGGAAUCACUGGGCGUAAAGCGCGCGUAGGCGGCCCUGUAAGUCCGUUGUGAAAGUCAAAGGCUCAACCUUUGAAAGCCGAUGGAUACUGCAGGGCUAGAGUCCGGAAGAGGCGAGUGGAAUUCCUGGUGUAGCGGUGGAAUGCGCAGAUAUCAGGAGGAACACCAAUAGCGAAGGCAGCUCGCUGGGACGGUACUGACGCUAAGGCGCGAAAGCGUGGGGAGCGAACAGG